CGAGAAGCGAAUCAAGGGCGUACGGAGGAUGCCUUGGCUUCCGCAGGCGACGAAGGACGCGGUAAGCUGCGAAAAUGUCCGGGUACCCGCAAACAGGGCCUGAUCCGGACGUGUCCGAAUGG
rnacentral:rRNA from 1 species